GUCCCCUCCUAAUUACUGCACUAGAAGCAGCAAAAUUUAGAGUAUGUACCUGGUAAGCUGAUGAGGAUGUUCCGAAAACAAAAUCAUCUGGGAAAGAAUAACGGCUGAAGUCAUCAAUGCUUCCCAUUGCAGUCUAAAUAUUAUAAAGGCUUGGGCUUAGUGUGUGAAACAGAGGUUUGUUUGGGUACAAAAGAAUGUAACGCAAGUUUGUAUAAUGAGGCAGAGAUUCUGUGCUUUUCCUUUUCCUCGAUAGGAGAGAUGG